UACGUAGGGUGCAAGCGCUGUCCGGAAUUAUUGGGCGUAAAGAGCUCGUAGGCGGUUCGUCGCGUCGGCUGUGAAAACCUGAGGCUCAACCUCAGGCCUGCAGUCGAUACGGGCGGACUUGAGUACUGCAGGGGAGACUGGAAUUCCUGGUGUAGCGGUGAAAUGCGCAGAUAUCAGGAGGAACACCGGUGGCGAAGGCGGGUCUCUGGGCAGUAACUGACGCUGAGGAGCGAAAGCGUGGGGAGCGAACAGG
rnacentral:rRNA from 1 species